GGCCAAUGUACAUCUAGAGGUCAAGAAAUUGAAGACGAAGUGUUUUACAAAUCUCAACUUGGUGAUAGAAUUGGCACACAAGAGAGCAUUCAAAGACUAAGAUUGCAUGUAGUUCAAAAUACUACAAAUGAAGAGUUUCUUAGGUAUCAAAUUUUUGAUGGGACUGGGACACAAGACAAUAUUCAAGAGCAUAACUAUGUUUGUAGCAGUGAAAAUGGUAGUGUGAAUACUGUAGCUUCCUUCAAUCCAAAUCAAGAACAUUUUGGUCAAGUAAACAAGGCUCCUUAUUACUCUCAGGUCACAAAACCAUAACACUGCUGUUUUUGGUUUGAACUGCUGUCUGGUUUUUCUGUAGUCAAGGCAUGAGGGUCUGCAGUAUUCACUUUUGAGCAUGUGUGCGGCUGUUUUGGUCAAGCAUUAUUGUUAGGUGGAAUGGGUUGUUUAGUGCUAGUUAUGUGUUUUUUUUUCUUUUUGGUUCAGUUUUGUUUCUGCUUCAGUGUUUUUUACCCUUUAGCAGCAACCAAAUUUGGAAUAUAAAGCUUCUGAUUUUAGCUUUGUUAUGGGUGGUUUUGGUAGGUGUUUGUAUUAGUGUUCAUGUGUACUCGUUACUUCUUGUUUGAUUUUAUCCGCGAGAUUUUCGUGUUCCUUACACAAUCUCGACGAGAAUAAUU